CUUUGCCACUUGAUGAGGAAAAAGCACCGGUGAAGCCAGUAGAGGUGUCAUCUAAAAAACGCAGAUGUGUUUCUGCUAUCUUGAAGAAAAUUUCUCGAAAGAGGGCUGUCGUCCCCACAGACAUCAAAAGGCCUCAAGUCCUUCCUGGCACUUCAAGAGAAACGUCUCACAUUCUAA